rnacentral:lncRNA from 1 species
UACAAGUUUUAGGGUGGAAGCUGUAUUUUGCUACAAAGGUAAAAUCAUCGUUAAUUGAUGAAUUGGAUAGAAAAGUGGUUUGAUAUGGCAAGAGGGACCUAGGUAAUGGAAUUAUGACUCGUUCUGAUGCAGAUGAAUGUUAGAAUUACUUUUCUCCUGGCCUACCCUAGACACUGAAUUUGAAUUUGUAGAGUGCUUCAACUCCAAAAGAUACCAUUGUAUGGCGAAUUAAUACCCUUGAAUAAUACACAUUUUGGAAGAAUUAGCCAAUAUUUAGGACCUCAAUAAAGAAAUUGGAGUCCUUUUGCUUGCAAGUCAGGGGAUUAAAAUGCAAAUAUGCACCCAGAAAAAGGUAACAUAAACCGACUUUUUUUUUUUUUUGGAAUCCAUUCCUGUUUUUACUAUUUUAGUUGUGUUUAGUAUUAGCAUAUUACUAAUGGCGAUCCACCAUAGGUUUGAAUAUGUUAUACUCUGUUUUUGUUGGGUGUUUGAAAUCUCACAUUUGUUUUCGAGUGGUUCCAAAAGCAAACUCAAGGAUUUAUCGGCGAUUAUCACACCAAAAAGAGGUUAGAGUUUUCAAGAUUAGAUUAACAAGGGAGGUGGGAUUAAGGAACUUGAAAGAAAAUGAGACUUGAGGAUUGACUAUAGAGAUAUUUGUGGACCAUUAACUUCCACCAAGUGGACCUCCAGCAGAUGGUCUCAUGUGUGCUUAUUAUCAAGUUGUAAUCUUGCUUAAAUAAUUAAGUUAAAAGCAUAGUUUUCUUAUUAUAUAAUUAAAAACAUUCGACUUGAUAAUGCUGGUAAUAAUUAUUGUAUGUCUAUUAAAAUAAAUGUCAAAUAACUUAUAGCUCAUGUUCAUACACAAAAU